AUGUUUGGUGCUCAGGCAGUAGCCCACUAGCCCAAAACUCCAAAUCUGAUUGUGCGAUUCAUCAUCAUCUGCUCAUCGCCUCCUCACCAAGUCUUCACGGCUCAAUCGCAGCAACAGACCGGCGACCGCAGAAGCACUCACGGCGACAUUAGAGGUUGACGGCAGCGUUGCAGGGAUUAAACUUUCAGUUUUUAGUGAUCGGUGUAGAAAUCUACUGGACAACAGGAAGUUCAUAAACAAAUCAGGAUGCCUCACAGAGCUAGGCCUAUGACAGGGCUUCUGGUGUUCGUUGGACUAAAUGCUGCUUUGGUCUCUACAAUAGAGCCUAUCUAUGAUUUUGUGUGCUUCCUUCCAUAUUGGGAACGAAGGAGAGAGCGUCGACACAAGGAACAUGAAGCUGCAUUGGCAAAAGGUUCUGGCUCAACGUAACUGUUAUAAUGAUGCCAGACUUCACCGACAGGCUCUCGAAUUCAGCUGUCAUUGUCUUUGUGAUACCGUCUUUUCUGCUACUCAGAGGGUCCAGAGUCCGGUUACAAAACCUAAGGAUGAUGAGAAACACUGACAGAAGAAACCAUCUGAAAACACAAAUGCUGAAAGUUGGAGAGUUACCUAUUUAUGUGCUUCAUAUUCACUAUAUGUGGCUUCUGGGUACAUCAAAAUAUAUAGAUAUUUGUACUCAAACAAUUUGUUUUAGAAGGUAAUAGGUUUUAGAAGUGUCUUUUAUUAACUGCCUUUGAUAGUUUCAAGUGAAUGUAGUGCAGAACUAAAGCUAUUCUUUUCCAAUAAAAGAAAUCAUACACUUCUAUUUGCA